rnacentral:rRNA from 1 species
GAUGAACGCUGGCGGCGUGCCUAAUACAUGCAAGUAGAACGCUGAAGGAGGAGCUUGCUCUUCUGGAUGAGUUGCGAACGGGUGAGUAACGCGUAGGUAACCUGCCUGGUAGCGGGGGAUAACUAUUGGAAACGAUAGCUAAUACCGCAUGACAACAGUUAUUGCAUGAUAACUGUUUAAAAGGGGCAACUGCUCCACUACCAGAUGGACCUGCGUUGUAUUAGCUAGUUGGUGAGGUAACGGCUCACCAAGGCGACGAUACAUAGCAGACCGGAGAGGGUGAUCAGCCACACUGGGACUGAGACACGGCCCAGACUGAUACGGGAGGGAGCAGUAGGGAAUCGGCGGCAAUGGGCGGAAGUCUGACCGAGAAAGGCCGCGGGAGGGAAGAAGGUUUUCGGAUCGUAAAGGUCUGUUGUAAGAGAAGAACGAGUGUGAGAAUGGAAAGUUCAGUGUGUGACGGUAUCUUACCAGAAAGGGACGGCUAACUACGUG